AACGCACCUUGCGCUCCUUGGUAUUCCGAGGAGCAUGCCUGUUUGAGUGUCAUUAAAUUCUCAACCCACGCAACUUGUGUAAACAUCUUGAGUGGCUUGGAUUUGGGAUUUUUGCUGGCUUUCAAAGUCGGCUGUCCUGAAAUAUAUUAGCAAGGCUUCAGUGGCCAGUCUAUUGGUGUGAUAUGCAUCUACGCCAUUGGAAAUUGAAGUCUAGCCUCCUAACUGUCUUGUUGGACAAUUUAUUUGACAAUCUGACCUCAAAUCAGGUAGGACUACCCGCUGAACUUAA
rnacentral:misc_RNA from 1 species